UAAUCUAUGAAUAAUAAUCGAAUGUGCAAAGAUUGAUCAGAUAAUAUUUGUUAAACGUUAAAUUUGUUAAUUCAUCACUAUAGGAUUACAUUUAGGGCAUUUAGCAGACGCUUUUAUCCAAAGCGACUUACAAUAAGUACAUUUGUCAUCAGAAGUGCAACAGCUGUCGGUACAGAAAGGAUGUUCAUAGAACCAAGUGCAAGUACAACAAUCGCUAGGCUAACCAAUUCCUCGUGUUACAGCAAUGAUAGCAGCUACUGCAGUUGCUGCAAAGUUAAGUACUAUAAUACAAUACGAUACAACACAAUACAAUACAGUGUACAACGGUGGCCAGAAGGGGGAGGGCGGCUAUGUAGAGUCGAGGUGGACUCUGAUUAGUUUUGUAGGUGAUAAUUACCCUAUCCCUAAUACCACGGAAUUAAAAAAAAAUCUGGACUUAAUUCUGAAAACUGUCUUUGUCUUUGUUUAUUACAUUUAUUUUCACAGAAAUGGAAGCGUUUUACACUGAAGUGAAGCAUUACCUGAAGCUAAACCAAUACCACAGCCUAACCACCACCGCCCUCAACCCAGAAGGCAGGAAGGGUUACAUAAGGAAGGUCUCAAAGAUCUACCUACUGGGGUAAGUCACAGUGUGUCAAACGCAUUUGAGAUAGUUUAUCUGUAGUGUUCUGUAUUUGCACUUUUCCUUUGCUUUUUUACCUUCGAAGUACUGCCCAAAAUAUUUGCUUGUAUUUGACCUAUAUUUGUAGCAAUUCACUUUUCAGGCCUGAAUAACAUUAAAAGCUAUUUAAUAAUUGAUUACAUGCCGAGUAUUGAUUAUAACCCUACACUUUCCAUUGAACAAUUACCCAUUAGCAUAAAUUGCAAAUUUUAUAAUGUAAUCAAAUGCUCACACACUUGCUGCUUUCAGACACACGUGUAAGUCAAUUUCACUAGAUUUCCUGAAGCUAAUUGUUGUCAUAAUGUUACCUACAUACACAUUCAUAAUUGAAGUAGGGCAGAUGAGGAGCUGUAUUGUCGGCACCAAAACCAUACAAGGUUGGUUGUGUGCACCAACGAGUGGGCUCGUGAUGUCCGCCGCCCGAAGACAUGUGAGGCUUUGUCAUUUGUUGACCUGUGAAACAUAGUAUUUUUUUUCCAAAUAAUUUCAACAGCUUUGUAUUGGGAUUUUCCCAUGUGGUGCACUAAUUACUAUGAAUAUUUCAUCUCAAUCAAUACAGGGAAAAGACAUCCACGUUGUUGACGCAUAUGUGGUUCCAACUUGGAAGUCUGAAACAGUGGACCCAAUGGCUGGUCUUCCAGUACGUCAUUAUUUCCUGUAAGCUUCUGUGUAGUUUGAGACUGACCAACAGUAAAUGCCCAAGAAUGUGUUCAAAUUGCUAGGGUGACCUGCUGCAGAAGGACCUAAUCAUCCUCCCUACCUGGAGCCGACAGCCAGGGAAAGCAGACCACUAUGUGCUUUGCGGACCUAGCACAGCGCAUUGCCCCAGGCCAGUGGAGAACUUAGCAUGGCAGAGACUUCGAGGGUUUCCCGUGCCAAACCACCGGCAAUUACUGUGGUGUCCUCAUCCUGAUGGUAAAUACCUUAUGUAGUCCCUAUUUAAGGUGUGUUGGUAUUAUUUGACACUGUCAUAACUUCAUAUGUUUCCCUUUUACGGUACGCAUUCUGCACCUGCACAGAUGCUCCAUUUCUUUUCACCGAGGUCAGUAUUUUAUUUAUGGGAGAAAGGAGACAUAAAACCAACACCACUAUGUUGUUUCUUUUUAACGUUGAUUUAUGGAGACUUUACUCGAAACAGUAACUUGCAUGCAAAAUGUUUAAUGUUGAGCAGAGAGGUUAUGACGCACUGAUUUUUGGCAGAAAAUGACAAUUAGUACUCAACCUAAUGCAUAUAUUCUUCCGUAACUUUUAGCUGGACAUGGCAGACAUCAGGAAAUGGUGGUGCAUUUCACUAAUGGAACGUUUCCAGAUUGAUGGGUAUGAAAAAACUUUAUUUUUUAUAAAUGUUAACUAUUAUGUUACUAUCUCACUCAAAAGCCAUGGAUGGAGGCUUGCGUACUGGACCAACGAAGCCCGAGCAUUGCUUGCAGGGUUGCUGGAGCCAGUGGAUAGGGUCCCAAAGGCAAGAAAGACCGAACGGCAAAGGACACCCAGUGGACACUGGGCAUCAGUGCCACUCUCCCCUACGUAUUAAUUCCUUUUUGUAC